AGAGAUUAGAGUUUGAUCAUGGCUCAGAACGAACGCUGGCGGCGUGGAUAAGACAUGCAAGUCGAGCGAGAUCUCCUUUGGUAGCAAUACCGAGGGAAGUCUAGCGGCGAACGGGUGCGUAACACGUGGACAAUCUGCCUUAAAGUGGGGGAUAGCUCGGCGAAAGCCGAAUUAAUACCGCAUGUGAUCAGGAAAGACAUCUUUCCGAAUUCAAAGACGGCGCAAGCUGUCGCUUUUUGAGGAGUCCGCGGCCUAUCAGCUAGUUGGUGAGGUAACGGCUCACCAAGGCUUUGACGGGUAGCUGGUCUGAGAGGACGACCAGCCACACUGGAACUGAGACACGGUCCAGACACCUACGGGUGGCAGCAGUCGAGAAUUUUUCUCAAUGGGGGAAACCCUGAAGGAGCGACGCCGCGUGGAGGAUGAAGGUCUUCGGGUUGUAAACUCCUGUCAUUUGGGAACAAGUCGUACGUAGUAACUAUACGUGCGUUGAUAGUACCAGAAGAGGAAGAGACGGCUAACUCUGUGCCAGCAGCCGCGGUAAUACAGAGGUCUC
rnacentral:rRNA from 1 species